rnacentral:rRNA from 1 species
GAGUUUGAUCCUGGCUCAGGACGAACGCUGGCGGCGUGCUUAACACAUGCAAGUCGAACGGUAAGGCCCUUUCGGGGGUACACGAGUGGCGAACGGGUGAGUAACACGUGGGUGACCUGCCUCAAGCUCUGGGAUAAGCCUGGGAAACUGGGUCUAAUACCGGAUAUGACUCGCGAUCGCAUGGUUGUGGGUGGAAAGUUUUUUCGGCUUGGGAUGGGCCCGCGGCCUAUCAGCUUGUUGGUGGGGUGAUGGCCUACCAAGGCUUCGACGGGUAGCCGGCCUGAGAGGGCGUCCGGCCACACUGGGACUGAGACACGGUCCAGACUCCUACGGGAGGCAGCAGUGGGGAAUAUUGGACAAUGGGCGCAAGCCUGAUCCAGCCAUGCCGCGUGUGUGAAGAAGGCC